GAUGAACGCUGGCGGCGUGCCUAAUACAUGCAAGUCGAGCGAACAGACGAGGAGCUUGCUCCUCUGACGUUAGCGGCGGACGGGUGAGUAACACGUGGAUAACCUACCUAUAAGACUGGGAUAACUUCGGGAAACCGGAGCUAAUACCGGAUAAUAUAUUGAACCGCAUGGUUCAAUAGUGAAAGACGGUUUUGCUGUCACUUAUAGAUGGAUCCGCGCCGCAUUAGCUAGUUGGUAAGGUAACGGCUUACCAAGGCAACGAUGGGUAGCCGACCUGAGAGGGUGAUCGGCCACACUGGAACUGAGACACGGUCCAGACUCCUACGGGAGGCAGCAGUAGGGAAUCUGCCGCAAUGGGCGAAAGCCUGACGGAGCAACGCCGCGUGAGUGAUGAAGGUCUUCGGAUCGUAAAACUCUGUUAUUAGGGAAGAACAAAUGUGUAAGUAACUAUGCACGUCUUGACGGUACCUAAUCAGAAAGCCACGGCUAACUACGUG
rnacentral:rRNA from 1 species